AGGACGAACGCUGGCGGCGUGCUUAACACAUGCAAGUCGAGCGGAAAGGCCCUUCGGGGUACUCGAGCGGCGAACGGGUGAGUAACACGUGAGUAACCUGCCCCUAGCUCUGGGAUAGCUCCGGGAAACCGGGAUUAAUACCAGAUACGACCACUUUAGACAUCUGUCGUGGUGGAAAGGAUUCCGGCUAGGGAUGGGCUCGCGGCCUAUCAGCUUGUUGGUGGGGUAACGGCCUACCAAGGCGACGACGGGUAGCCGGCCUGAGAGGGCGACCGGCCACACUGGGACUGAGACACGGCCCAGACUCCUACGGGAGGCAGCAGUGGGGAAUAUUGCGCAAUGGGCGAAAGCCUGACGCAGCGACGCCGCGUGGGGGAUGAAGGCCUUCGGGUUGGUAAACCUCUUUCAGCGCAGACGAAGCGAAAGUGACGGUAUGCGCAGAAGAAGCACCGGCCAACUACGCGCCAGCAGCCGC
rnacentral:rRNA from 1 species